rnacentral:rRNA from 1 species
CACGUAGGAGGCGAGCGUUGUCCGGAAUCAUUGGGCGUAAAGAGCGCGCAGGCGGCUUGACAAGUCGGGUGUGAAAUCCCGGGGCUCAACCCCGGGACUGCAUUCGAUACUGUCAGGCUAGAGGUAGGUAGGGGAGAUCGGAAUUCCUGGUGUAGCGGUGAAAUGCGCAGAUAUCAGGAGGAACACCGGUGGCGAAGGCGGGUCUCUGGGCCGAUACUGACGCUGAGGAGCGAAAGCGUGGGGAGCGAACAGG